UACGAAGGGGGCGAGCGUGUUCGGAUUUACUGGGCGUAAAGCGUGCGCAGGCGGUUUUGUAAGCCGGAUGUGAAAAUCCCCGGGCUUAACCUGGGAAUGGCAUUCGGGACUGCAAGGCUGGAGUGCGGCAGAGGAGACUGGAAUUCCUGGUGUAGCGGUGAAAUGCGUAGAUAUCAGGAGGAACACCGGUGGUGUAGACGGCUCACUGGACCGUAACUGACGCUGAGGAGCGAAAGCGUGGGGAGCGAACAGG
rnacentral:rRNA from 1 species